CGAAAAAAAAAAUAUCUGUUGAUGGUUUGCUUUAGAAUUCCUACGCUUUACCGUGAUUUGUUGAAAGUUUGGCAAAGCGUUUGGGUUCUGAAACGAAACAUUAAUCAUCCCCAGCACCAGAGAC
rnacentral:pre_miRNA from 11 species